UUUCCGUAGGUGAACCUGAGGAAGGAUCAUUAGUGAAUAAACAUGUGCAGGUUGUGCUGGCCUUCUUGGUAUGUGCACACAUGCCAAAGUUUCAUUCCAUCUUCCCACCUGUGCACUCUGUGUAGAUUCUGUAUGCUGUUGUCAAGCCUUUAUUGUGCUUGGUUGAGUGGAGUUGCUUGUUUUCACAAACAAGCUCUUCUUGGGCAUGCAGGUCUAUGUUUAUAUCAACACCAUAUGAAUGUUUUAGAAUGUGUAUCAGGCUUUUGGCCUUUAAAUUAUAUACAACUUUCAACAACGGAUCUCUUGGCUCUC
rnacentral:misc_RNA from 1 species